UACAGAGGGUGCGAGCGUUAAUCGGAUUUACUGGGCGUAAAGGGCGCGUAGGUGGUAAAGCAAGUAAGAUGUGAAAGCCCUGGGCUUAACCUGGGAAGUGCAUCUUAAACUGCUUAACUAGAGUACGGUAGAGGGUAGUGGAAUUUCCGGUGUAGCGGUGAAAUGCGUAGAUAUCGGAAGGAACGCCAGUGGUGAAGACGACUACCUGGAUCGAUACUGACACUGAGGCGCGAAAGCGUGGGGAUCAAACAGG
rnacentral:misc_RNA from 1 species